CAAAAUCCCCAAAUUAAUUCAGAAACUCUAUUUUCCCCAAUUCACUAACCCUAACCCCUUACCCCCUUUCCUUUCCUAAACGUAACAAUCACACAGAGAGCACAGAAAGAGAUCUGCGAGAAGAGGAGGAAGAAGACGCGCUGCUAGUUGCGCCACACCCAGCCGCGUUCAGCCCGCCGUCGCGUCUCCACCGCACCGCGUCGCCCUCGUGCCUUGCCUUCGUCGCCGCUAAUCCACCGCCGCUGCUGCCAGGGCCCGUCGCCAUCACCGUCGCAGGCAGGAAAGAAGGGAAACAGAAAUGGGGAAAGAGAGGGAAGAAAGAGCUGCUAAUGGAGGAAGAAGAAAAGAGAGAGGGAGGAGCCGUGCCCUGUUGUCGCCGCCGCAACGCCACUGCGCCGUUGCCACCGUUCCAUGGGGUCACCGUUGUCGUCAUCCUCGCGGGCUACCUCUGCAUGCGUCGUCCUCGCCGUCCCGUCCAUGGAGCCGAGCCCGCGAUGCCGUCGUUCAUCCGUAUCCUGUCGCUGCCGCUACAAGGGUCUGUCGCCGUCGCAAAUGAAGAGGACGCUGCCAGCUCUGUCGCGCUUGGUCGUUGUCGAGCUCACCGUCACAGUUCAAUCACCAUAGAGCUUGAAGAGAAGCGCCACUGAUAUUACCCGACAGCAGCUUCUCCUGCGUUCCCAAUUCCAUUCUUGAAACGUACUGCCGUCUGUAUCCGGAACCAUUGAUGUCACCGCUACAAAGGUAAUUGGAAUGGGCGCGGUUGUCGCUGUUGUUGCUGCCCGGAGGGAGCUGAGGCUACUGUUGCUGUGAACUCGGAAUAAGUGGGUUUGUCGUGUUUGAUUCCCGAGUUGGGUUAAUCGAGUGACACAGGUUCAAAGAUUCAGUAAGAAGCUGCAGACGAUUAGUAGAUUUACUUGUGAUUUCUUUUGUUUUUAUAGAGUUCCCUCGCUCUUGUUGUUUUAGCUUUUAUUUUAUCCAUAGGGAUAAAUAUUGUAUUUGAGUUUUAUAUUGAAUUUAAUUGUAUAACAUCUAUUACUGUUAAUAAUUAUGUGAUUAUUAUU